UAGAGAUUCCUAUAUUCUAAAUUACCUAGCA
rnacentral:piRNA from 1 species